CAAGCAUGUGGAAUGGGCACAAUCUCAAUAAGUAUUUAUAAUGCUCUCAUGCAUCAAACAAAGAUUCCAUAUCUUCCUAUCUAAAAUUAUUGAUCUCAUUUCUUACUUG